CCCCAAAUCUCCAGGUGACACCUGGCUGUCCCCCCAAGCCCUUGGUGGUCCCUGAGGGGGACCCAAACUGUUGGGGACACUUGUUCAGCAGGUGACAGGAGUCACGGGGGGGGGGUGGGCUUUGGAUUCAUCCCCCAGGUGGGGUCACCUGCCCCAAAGAGCUGCCAGGAUCGGGGGGAACACCCCAAAGUCCUGGGGCAGCUUCUGCUCCUCCCGAGGUUGGAAAAGGUGGGAAAAGGUGGGAAAAGGUGGGAAAGCUUCUGCUCCUCCUGUCCCAGGUAGGACCAUCCCCUCCCCAGCCCCCAGUCCUGUCAGACAGGGAAGGGAAAAGGGAAAAGGGGGAAUGGAAGGGGGAAAGGAAGGGAAUCCCACGGAUUUUGGGGGUCCCAGGUACUCACCCACUGCUCCUUCUGGGGUGAGGGACCCUCCCUCUGCACACGGGGCUGGAUGGGGCUCCUGACCCCUGGCCUGGGCUGGGGGCGCCUGGGGACUCCCAGGUUUCAGGGUUCCUGGGGUUUCAGGGUUCCUGGGGUUUUGGGGUUCCCGAGGUUUCAGGGCUCCCAGGGUUUCAGGGCUCCGGCUUUCUCCUGUCCUGGCUGCAGCUCUCAGGAAAUCUGGGUUCAGGCUCUCUGGGUUUUGAGGUCUCUGCGCUCCGACUUUCCAGGAUUUGGGGUCUCUGGGCUCUGGGUUUUAGGGUCUCUGGGCUCCAGCUCUCUGGGUUUUGGGGUCUGUGGGCUCCGUUUUUUGGGGUCUCUGGGCUCUGACUCUGCAGGUUUUGGGGUCUCCGGGUUUUGGGGUGUCUGUUUUCUGGCUCUUCAGGAUCUGGGGUCUCUGUGCUCCGGCUCUGCAGGUUUUGGGGUCUCUGGGCCCUGGCUCUCUGGUUUUGGGGUGUCUGUUCUCCGGCUCCUCAGGAUUUGUCGUCUCUGGUUCUCCUGUUUUUGGGGUCUCUGAGCUCUGGCUCUCUGGGCUUUAGGGUCUCUGGGCUCCAACUCUGCAGGAGUUGGGGUCUUUAGGCUCCAGCUGUGCAGGUUUUGGGGUCUCUGGGCUCCAGCUCUCUGGUUUUCAGGUCUCUGGGCACUGGUUCUGCAGGAUUUGGGGUCUCUGUUCUCCGACUCUGCAGGAGUUGGGGUCUCUGGCUUUGGCUCUGCAGGAUUUGGAGUCUCUGGGCUCCAGCUCUCUGGGUUUUGGGGUGUCUGGGUUCCGUUUUUUGUGGUCUCUGGGCUCCGGUUUUGGGGGUCUCUGGCUCUGUCUCUCUGGGGUUCUGCCCCUCCUGGUUUUGGGGCUCCAGCUCCUGGGGCUCCUCCGAGUUUUGGGGUGCCUGGCUUUGGCCUGGAGGGACACAAAACAUUGGAGAUGUUCCCGUGCUGAGCUUUGGCUGCUCCCAUGCUCCCCAAAAACCUGGGAGCCCCAGGAUCCCCCCAAAAGAUCCCCCCAAAAGAUGGAGGAGUUUGGGCAAAGGUGACUCAUUCAGGAGAAACAGAAAAGUUUCAAGGAGAAAUCCUUGGAUUUCUCUCUGCUGCUGCUGCUGGGAGGAGACACAAAUAACCCGGGAGAGAAGACUAAUUAACGAGCCAAUUAAUCAGACAUUUGUGAUUCCAGGCUGGAUGCAGGUGGGCAUCCAGCUCCAGAUCCUUUCCCCAUCACACAUCCCGAUUUUCACACUUUUUGGGGCAUUUUUUGGCAUUUCAUGUGACAAAUCAUUUAUGCAGAUGGUGGUGAGGGCAGGCAGGGAGGAGCAGGCACGGAGCAACAGAUGGAGGGAAGGCAUAAAAUGCAUAAAAUAUUAACAAAAAUAUUAAAAAAUAAAGAAAGAGGGGGGGAAAAGGUGAGAGAAGGA
rnacentral:lncRNA from 1 species